CAUGCGCACGUCAUAAAUUUCGUAAAAAGCAUAAUAAAUAAAAUGGAAAUAAUAACAUUUUUAUUACACUGCAUUGAAGGAGGAAGGAGCCAGUGAAGCGCGUUGCCAAAAGGCGGUAGCAGGCAGCAGGAAUGCCAGCAGGAGGCAGGAGGCAGGAGUGGCAUCCACCAGAAAGCACCUUCUAAUACUUUCGAAUGGCAAAAGUUUUUUGGGCAAAAAGACCGUCGCGUCGCCACACGAUUUUGCUAUUAACAAACGGGGGACGAGGCGAUGCGAGGCGAGGCGAGGCGCUCUCUCAGUGUAUAGCAAUCUUUGGCAGGAAGAAGGACGAAAAACUUCACUUCAGAGUUUAUUAUGAUUUUUAUGGAUAUAAUAUAGGCCGCACAGACCCCACAGCCGCUUGCUUUCCCUAAGAUGCCCUGCGCACGUGCAAUGGCUCCAAUGGUUACUUCCUGGAGUCGCCACCACCUGUGCGAUUUGAUGCCCCAGCAUUUUCCACGAAAAAAAACUCUCCUCUCAUUUCGGUCGACCAUAUUGACGACGCGGCGUGGUGGGCGGCUACGGAAAUUGUUAAAACUGUAAUUGCUAAACGAAUUUUAAUGAGCUCAUUAAUUUGAUAAAGGGAUUUACACGGUGUUGCGGUUGGGUGUGGCAGCAGCCAGCAGCCAGGAGUCCUGGUCCUGGUCCUGGACCUGGUCCUGGCCCUAGCCCUGUGCUGCUGACGAUGUCCUCGUGUUGUGUUCUGUUCUCUGACCAAAUGUUGCCAUGCGGUUAACUCCAGUUUCUGUCUCUCCCACUCUGUGUUUGCUUCCCCGCUGACGGCAUUGCUGUUGGCAUUAAUUAAAAUUUGCUUCAAAUUAUAUUCCAGCGCUUUUCUACCACCGCCAGCUGCUGGGCAAACAGAAAAUUUUGUUUGACUUGCUAAUGUUGUUGUCGGCUCCAAAAACUUGACAUUUUUUCAAACCUCUCCAAAAAAAA
rnacentral:sRNA from 1 species